rnacentral:sRNA from 1 species
GCCAGGUGCGGUGGCGCACGCCUGUGAUCCUAGUGGCUUGGGAGGUGGAGGCAGGAGGAUCAUGAGUUCAAAGCCAGACUCAGCAAUUUAAUGAGGUGCUAAGCAACUCAAUGAGACCCUGUCUCUG